rnacentral:rRNA from 1 species
AACGAACGCUGGCGGCAUGCCUAACACAUGCAAGUCGAACGAGACCUUCGGGUCUAGUGGCGCACGGGUGCGUAACGCGUGGGAACCUGCCCUUAGGUUCGGAAUAACUCCCCGAAAGGGGUGCUAAUACCGGAUAAUGUCUUCGGACCAAAGAUUUAUCGCCUUUGGAUGGGCCCGCGUUGGAUUAGCUCGUUGGUAGGGUAAAAGCCUACCAAGGCGACGAUCCAUAGCUGGUCUGAGAGGAUGAUCAGCCACACUGGGACUGAGACACGGCCCAGACUCCUACGGGAAGCAGCAGUGGGGAAUAUUGGACAAUGGGCGAAAGCCUGAUCCAGCAAUGCCGCGUGAGUGAUGAAGGCCUUAGGGUUGUAAAGCUCUUUUACCCGGGAUGAUAAUGACAGUACCGGGAGAAUAAGCUCCGGCUAACUCCGUG